CCACAGGUCCCCCAACACGGCAUAAACGAAUAGUAAUGAAAGCAACCGUUCACGCCCUCUAGCCCCAGAUUGAGUAGAACUCAACAUUUACACAUGUUAUAAGUACCAGACAUCCGCAGAUGUAUUCAUAAGGCGGUGCACAUUGAUGCACAGAGUGCAAUUCUUUGAAAAGCGGCUCAUGGUCCCCAGAUAAAGUAAUGUCUGUGCCCUAAACUAUAAAACAAUGGCAGAACUAUACAAACUGGAAUUUAGAGAGGAGACCUGAUGUAAUGGAGCUUGCAUACGGGAAGACUUUUCUCGGCCGCCACUCGGCACAAACAACGCUGCUGUGAUAAUAAAAUAAAAAAGUGGAAAACCACAGGUCGCCCAACACGACAUAAACGAAAAUGUUGCAGGCUCGGGUUGAUUGAGCCUGUUCAUGGACGAUAGUGGAAAUAAAAGCUACCGUCCACGCCCUCUAGCACCGGGUUGAGCAGAACUCAACAUUUACACAUGUUAUAAGUACCAGAAUAUUAUUUAGAGACAUCUGCAGAUGUAUUCAUACGGCGGUGCAUAUGGAACCUUCAAUGAUGCACAGAGUGCAUUCCAUGAAAAGCGGCGUAUGGUCCCAAGUUAAAAUAAUGGCUAUGCCCUAAACGAGAAAACAAUGGGCAGAACUAAACAAAAUAGAAUUUAGAGAUUGGAUUUGAGGUUAUGGAGCCUGCAUAUUACAGAAACAGCCAAAGGACAAAAUUAAAAAGCAGGCACCAUAUCCAGCGGGUUAGGGUAUACACAAAGCUUUUAAAGCUGGAGUAUUGGAACCACCCAAGCCGAAAUAGUGAAGCUGAAAAAUUAAACGUACACUAACACAAUGAAGAGAUCGAAAUAUAACAUUUUAAUACAUGUUUACUGUCUAUCUAUGAAAGAAUAACCAAAAGUCUAUUAAGAAUAAUUUGUUUGUAAAACUCUGAUUGUCCCUAGCCGUUAGAACAAAUAUUGGUGUCUUUAUAUAAACUAUAUGACAUUUACAUUAACUUGUGUCAUAAGUCAGCCUUUACCUUAAAUCUAUACAAGUUAUAAUGAUAAAUUUGACUUUAUCUCUUCAAUAAAUAGGACUUAUGUUCAAAGUCGUGGUUGAUUCAAACUGAAAUAUGCUCUGAAUCAACAUCUCAAUUACUUUUAUACUUUUACAUAAAACUUAGAAAUAAACAAACAUUAAAACAACAAAUCUCUGAGAAAAGAAGUGAGCGUGGUUAGCAGUAAAUAGAUAGAUAAUGAAUUAAUAUAUUUAUUUGGAUAUAUACUUGUUUCUUUUUCUGUGAUUCUAUAUUCAUUGAGAUAUAUAGCGCCUACCUUUGGAGAUGGGUCUGCAAUUUGCUCGUGUUAUAGUAUACACAACUAUUAUAGCUGUGUUAAUAGUGCCAGUGGUAAGAAGCCUCCCUGUGGGACAGGAAAAGGCAGAAACAUCAAUGGAUAUACAGAAUGGUGAUUCACUUUUUGGACAGAUAUACUUCAAGUCUUUUGAUGACGUCACAACAUUUGUACGAUCAUGGUUCAAAAUGCUCACAAGGAAAAGAACAGAAACAGUUUAACAAAAAAGUGGAUGACCGGCAGAUUAUCUAAAUUAUUUCAGUGCUGUUUAUCAUUGAAUUGAAUGUUUCAAACGUUUAAUUUAGACAUUUCGCAGUUUAGUUAAAAGUUAAUGUUAUCGAUAGCGAAAGUGGCAUAAUUCAUGAAAGACUCAGUUUAUAAAUCAAUAAUGACAUUUAAAAUAUAUGAAAUGUUCUUUCUUCUUUUCACAUAAAUUUUGUGACACACAUAAUAUACUGUACUAAGGCGUAAAAAAAUUGUUUGUUUCCGGUAGCCCGACCUACCCUAAAUUUUUGGCCCAACCCUAAAUGUUUUUAUGGCCUUGGAGAAUAUUUUUUUCAACUUUUUAAAAAGUUGCAAAACUACAUUUUUUAUGUUUAAAACAUGGUCAGGGGUGUUAGAAAUCAACUUACUGAUGCUCUAAAGGCAUAAUCCCCUUAUUUGUAUUCAUUUAUUGACACAAAAAUAAUUUCCGAAAAGUCUCACUUAAUAAAAAAAAAUCCAAAAAAAAAUAAUUUUCCGACCUACCUACCCUAAUUUGUUUGAGCAUGUUACCGGAAACAAAGAUUUUUUUUAGGCCUAAUCGUUGAUGACUGAAUAAUAUUACCUCGAAGUAUACUUUAUACAUAACGAAUUCUUAUGUUUAUUUAUAUUGCGUUCUGUAUAUAUGUAUUAUGUAUUACAAAAAUGUUAAAAUCACUUGUAUACAAUAUACUGCUUUACAUACGUGAUUAAAAUGGUAAACGGUC